UACGUAGGGGGCAAGCGUUGUCCGGAUUUAUUGGGCGUAAAGAGCGUGUAGGCGGCCAGACAGGUCCGUUGUGAAAACUCGAGGCUCAACCUCGAGACGCCGAUGGAAACCGUUUGGCUAGGGUCCGGAAGAGGAGAGUGGAAUUCCUGGUGUAGCGGUGAAAUGCGCAGAUAUCAGGAAGAACACCCGUGGCUAAGGCGGCUCUCUAGUACGGUACUGACGCUGAGACGCGAAAGCGUGGGGAGCGAACAGG
rnacentral:rRNA from 1 species